rnacentral:rRNA from 1 species
AUGGUUCAUAUGCUCCUCUCUCGCAGCGCUGGCUCGUGCCACCGCCUUAGUGUGUCCAGGCUUCCCAACGACUCAUUGUUCGCCUUCAUCGCGGACCAUGCGCAAUCUCUCAAGACUUUGGAGAUUCCAAGGAGCGAAAUUAGCGACUCUAUAGUGGAAGCUGCUGCACAAAGACUGACUAAAGUUACAUUCCUGGAUGUAAGCAGCUGCACUAAGAUUGGCGCUCGUGCUCUGGAGGCAUUCGGUAAGAAUUGCAAAUCCCUCAUCAGACUUCGCCGAGUCAUGCACCCAAUGGAUGUCGCAGGGAAGGGGUGCCAUAAUGACGAGGCCCGUGCUAUUGCCUACAACAUGCCAAAGCUCUGCCACCUCGAGAUAGGGUACAUGCUUAUCGAGACAACGGCUGUCCUCGAGAUCACCUCCCGGUGCGAAGACCUCAAAUUCUUAGAUCUGCGUGGCUGUUGGGAUGUUGGUGAUAAGAUUUUGCAAGAGAAGUAUCCUGGGCUGAAAAUCCUCGGCCCCCACGUGGACGACUUCUAUGAGAACAACUUCUGGGAUGAGUGCUCGGAUGAUGACUCCAUCGACUCAUGGGAAGAGUUCGUGGACAAUGAGUACUUCGCCCUCGGGGGUGAUGACGAGGCCAUAUGGGACGACGAUCACGCUCUUGAGUGA